rnacentral:rRNA from 1 species
UACAGGGGGUGCAAACGUUUCUCGGAAUUAUUGGGCGUAAAGCGCACGUAGGCGGUUCGUUAUGUCAGAUGUGAAAGCCCUUGGCUCAACUGAGGAAGUGCAUCUGAAACUGGCGAGCUAGAGUAUGUAAGAGGGUCGCGGAAUUCCCGGUGUAGAGGUGAAAUUCGUAGAUAUCGGGAGGAACACCGGUGGCGAAGGCGGCGACCUGGGACAAUACUGACGCUGAGGUGCGAAAGCGUGGGGAGCAAACAGG